CUAUUUUAAAAGUCGACAAGGAAGAACACGGUCAGCCAAAAAUCCGCCGGAGAUGUGGAGAGAGAGCGCGCAGAGAGAACUACAAGGGCUGAUGAUGAUGGUUCCGCCCGGUGUUACAACCUGCUCGUCGUCGUCAACAACACUCGACAACGACGUUUUGAUCUGGCCGUAGUCUUUGGUGGUGCGGAGUAGGGUUUAUGACGGCAAGAUUGUUGCAAUCUUUGGUGGCGGCGACCAUGGUUUGUGACGGAGAUCGACGACGUCUGUUAGAUUGGAUGCUGCCAUAGCUCUGCCAAUGACAGUGGUCAAGCGGUUAGGGUUUCGAUCAACUUUUGGUAACGUCCGUAGAGGCUCCAGCGAAGAUUCCAGUGAGGUGAACAGGCCAGGGAAGAUUCCGGUUAACGGUUUAUAGAUAGAAAGUGACUAAGUCGACAAGUCCAAAUUGUAGACUGUUUGCAAUAUGAGUAAAAGAAUCCUAUUAAAUCAAAGUGCAUAAACAUGAGCUAUGAUGUAUAUGGCUAAAAAGAGAAGAGACGGUCUACAAGGUUACAAUGGUGUAAGGACCAAAAACGACGGAGCCCACGAUGCUUUGUACCGAAGCGAAAACCCCGACAAACAAGAAACAACACCACCAGACAACGUUCUCGAGGACGACAUGCUGGCGCUUUUACUCAAACAAUCCUCAGGAUUCAAGGACGUCAGAAUGAUCCAUGCAAAACUGGGUAUCGCUUUUAUCGAGUUUGAUGAGAAAAAAAAUAACUUUCGAGUUUGAUGAGAAAAAAUAACUUUCUAUUGCAAUGCAAUCCCAGCAAGGCUCAAGAUCACCCCUCAAAAAUGUUAUUUACAAAAAAAAUUGAUGAAAAUAGUACUAUGUGUAGUGAUAAAGAUCCAUAAUGAUGUUUUUUGUGAAUGUGUGGUUAAUUUAAAAAGAGAAGAUAUAGUAUUUUGGUUGUUCUGGGCAUUAUAAACCUAAGAUAGGUAAUGCCUCAUUACACGAUCUUAUGUUGACUUGCAAUUUGUAGGUUUUUUUGGGUCAUUUCAAAACUAGAUGUUAUUUGA